rnacentral:rRNA from 1 species
GUUCUGCCCCUACCAUGGUUGUAACGGAUUACGGGGAAUCAGGGUUCGAUUCCGGAGAGGGAGCCUGAGAAACGGCUACCACAUCCAAGGAAGGCUGCCGGCGCGCAAAUUACCCACUCCCGGCACGGGGAGGAGUGACGAAAAAUAACGAUACGGGACUCAUCCGAGGCCCCGUAAUCGGAAUGAGUACACUCUAAACCCUUUAACGAGGAUCAAUUGGAGGGCAAGUCUGGUGCCAGCAGCCGCGGUAAUUCCAGCUCCAAUAGCGUAUAUUAAAGUUGUUGCGGUUAAAAAGCUCGUAGUCUAAUCUGUGUCCCGCGCCGACGGUUCAUCGUACGCGGUGUCAACUGGCGUGUCGCGGGACGUCCUGCCGGUGGGCUUAGCUCGCAAGGGCGGCCCAA